UACGUAGGGGGCUAGCGUUGUCCGGAAUCAUUGGGCGUAAAGCGCGUGUAGGCGGUUCGGUAAGUCCGCUGUGAAAGUCGGGGGGCUCAACCCGUCGGAUGCCGGUGGAUACUGUCGGACUAGAGUACGGAAGAGGCGAGUGGAAUUCCUGGUGUAGCGGUGAAAUGCGCAGAUAUCAAGGAGGAACACCGAUUGCGAAGGCAGCUCGCUGGGACGUUACUGACGCUGAGACGCGAAAGCGUGGGGAGCGAACAGG
rnacentral:rRNA from 1 species